rnacentral:misc_RNA from 1 species
AAGUCGUAACAAGGUCUCCGUUGGUGAACCAGCGGAGGGAUCAUUACAGAGUUGCAAAACUCCCUACACCCACUGUUUAUCUAUCCUGAAAACGUCUGCUUCGGCGGGCGGCCCCUGGGAGGGGCCGCUGUCGCGCCUUCGGGCGCGGCGCCCGCCGGAGGAGACGACCUUUUAAACUCUUGCUGUUUCAGUACUAUUCUGAGCCUAAAGACGAAUUGUCAAAACUUUCAACAACGGAUCUCUUGGUUCUG